rnacentral:rRNA from 2 species
AAAUUGAAGAGUUUGAUCAUGGCUCAGAUUGAACGCUGGCGGCAGGCCUAACACAUGCAAGUCGAACGGUAACAGGAAGCAGCUUGCUGUUUCGCUGACGAGUGGCGGACGGGUGAGUAAUGUCUGGGAAACUGCCUGAUGGAGGGGGAUAACUACUGGAAACGGUGGCUAAUACCGCAUAACGU